AAGGCUAGGCAUAUUCUGUUGGGAGAGCAUUGACUCAAAAACUCAAAGAGCUUAUUCCGAGACAAAUGUUUAAAGUGCCCAUCCAGGCUUGUAUAGGAUCAAAAGUGAUUGCUAGUGAAGCUCUCUCAGCUAUCAGGAAGGAUGUUUUGGCCAAAUGUUAUGGUGGAGAUAUUUCUCGGAAGAAGAAGCUUCUUAAGAAGCAAGCGGCAGGCAAGAA